CUACCGAACACAUCGUAACUCCAAAUUCGACGAAAUUGAAAUGCCAACAAGGGUAAUUUCGUUAGAUUUCCAUACAUGUAAAUCGUAUUAAAAAAUGAGCUACAGGGUGAGAGGAAUGACAAAAAUACCAGUAGUUGUUUCAUACGAUAAUUAAUUUGAACAGACCUUCACUAAAACGGUAAUUAAUCUCUCUCUGUAACUCCAAAUUUAGUGGAGUUUGAUUCUGUGGAAAACUAACUCGAUUGCGGUCGUUUCGGUACCAGUUUGGUGAAUUAUUGAUCCAAAUUGAGUUCUGUGCGAAGCUUUGAACUUGAGGCUCAGAAGCAGAUUUUGUGCAAAUUUUUGGUGGGGGCAAAAUCCAACAAAUUAUAAAAUAGGGGGGUAAAAUUCCGCAUUUUAAAAUAGGGAGGGUAAAAUUCCGC
rnacentral:lncRNA from 1 species